rfam:Trichosporon oleaginosus strain IBC0246 unplaced genomic scaffold CC85scaffold_12, whole genome shotgun sequence.
GGCGAAGUGGCGGAGUGGUUACCGCGAUUGACUCGAAUACUUUCGAUCAAUUUCCAUUUGGAGCGCAUGUUCGAGUCAUGUCUUCGUCG